AGCGAACGCUGGCGGCAGGCUUAACACAUGCAAGUCGAGCGGGCCCUUCGGGGUCAGCGGCGGACGGGUGAGUAACGCGUGGGAACGUGCCUUCUGGUCUGGAAUAACCCUGGGAAACUAGGGCUAAUACCGGAUACGCCCUUUUGGGGAAAGGUUUACUGCCGGAAGAUCGGCCCGCGUCUGAUUAGCUAGUUGGUGGGGUAACGGCCUACCAAGGCGACGAUCAGUAGCUGGUCUGAGAGGAUGAUCAGCCACACUGGGACUGAGACACGGCCCAGACUCCUACGGGAGGCAGCAGUGGGGAAUAUUGGACAAUGGGCGCAAGCCUGAUCUAGCCAUGCCGCGUGAGUGAUGAAGGCCUUAGGGUUGUAAAGCUCUUUUAUCCGGGACGAUAAUGACGGUACCGGAGGAAUAAGCCCCGGCUAACUUCGUG
rnacentral:rRNA from 1 species